rnacentral:lncRNA from 1 species
AGUGCAAGCGGCUAUCCCUUGGCAAUCUCAUUAUUCCAUUAUUAUGACCAUUACGUGAUAGAAGUAUAACACUAUUUGCACCAAUACCCAGCAACCACCGUGUGAGCAGUAUUCCAAUCGCUCCAGUUCCACCCGUGACUAAUUGAUGACCAGACAUCACAGUUUUGUGAUACACGACGACUUUUCCAAUGUGGGACGCUCUCGUCAUUUCCCUCAUGCUUUGACGGAUGAACCGAAAUUCGUUGCUCAAACAUAUCGAUGG